CCCACCAGCCCUUAUGUCCCCUAGGCUCCUCCUACUGGCGUCUAAGGCCAUUCUGAUCCAUGAAGAUAAGCAGGGUUCUGGCCUGGCAAGUACUUGAAUGGGAGACUGCCCGGGAAUACUGAAUGCUGUCGGGU
ensembl:rRNA 5S_rRNA 5S ribosomal RNA